GAUGAACGCUGGCGGCGUGCCUAAUACAUGCAAGUCGAGCGAACAGAUAAGGAGCUUGCUCCUUUGACGUUAGCGGCGGACGGGUGAGUAACACGUGGAUAACCUACCUAUAAGACUGGGAUAACUUCGGGAAACCGGAGCUAAUACCGGUUAACAUAUUGAACCGCAUGGUUCAAUAGUGAAAGGCGGCUUUGCUGUCACUUAUAGAUGGAUCCGCGCCGUAUUAGCUAGUUGGUAAGGUAACGGCUUACCAAGGCAACGAUACGUAGCCGACCUGAGAGGGUGAUCGGCCACACUGGAACUGAGACACGGUCCAGACUCCUACGGGAGGCAGCAGUAGGGAAUCUUCCGCAAUGGGCGAAAGCCUGACGGAGCAACGCCGCGUGAGUGAUGAAGGUCUUCGGAUCGUAAAACUCUGUUAUCAGGGAAGAACAAAUGUGUAAGUAACUGUGCACAUCUUGACGGUACCUGAUCAGAAAGCCACGGCUAACUACGUG
rnacentral:rRNA from 1 species